UCUCUUUAGCAUCCGGCGCUUUCUGAGUGAGACCUGUACAGGUGCCAGGUUAGGAUGCAUGGAUAAAAAGGGACCAGUUUCUCCCGUUGGCUGCAGUCACGUAAACCCGACCCUGAGUGGCUGAGGGCCAGGGCACAGUGGCUCACCGCUACACUGAUCUGCAUCACUAUAUUUUAUGUGACUAUUUGCUUGCUCGUGUCGCCCACUGAUGGUGGCGGCCCCAGUAGUUCCUGACAAACGCUAGGCUUAAAUAUAUGUAUGAUGUAUGGACUAAGUGUGUGCCCCAUCCCAGGAUUCAUUUGUGCUGCUGUCUCUGUGGUGCAGACAUAGUCCUUAGGCUGCACUUUGAGGCUCAUUUUCCUUCCGGGAGUCCUUGUCUUUCCCUUCAUUAUAUGGGAAAAUCUCAAAGAGAAGAAGUUUUUGGAGCUUUGAAACAGGUGCUUGGAGCCACAGCAGAAGCCACCCUACCCGGGACUUGUUCUUCUCUGCUCUCCACUCCUAAAAAUGUCUGCAGGGGCAUCUCCUUAUCUGCGAUAUUCCGAGGAAGGACGAUUUCUCCCUAGCCACCCCAGCACAGUUCUUUAGUGACUCUGGCCUACGUGGGCUCCACUGGCAUACUGUCUUUGUAUGCUGGCAUGCCAGAACACAUGCUCGAGCAGAGACCACUAACCAUUACUGCCCAGCACAGCUGAGUGAAUUUCUUCCUUCACACUCUAAGGACAGGACCGCAACAUGGAAAAAGAAAACUGAAAGUUCAGUCUCAUCUCCAGUAGCAUCUCAGGAAUCACAUCCCAGGAAUGAGCCAGCAGAGGACUCACUGUGAAGUCCAUCCAGGUCACAGUCACUCUACUAUGACUCCGUUUCCCAGGAAGUGACUCCGAGACUCACACAAUGAAGGAAAUCCAGUCUGAACAAGCCUGAAGUAUUGAUGUGGUUUAAAUAAGAACUCCUCCCCCAUAGGCUUAUAUUUGGAAGCUUAGUCACCAGAGUAUGGCACUAUUUGAGAAGGAUUGGGAGCUGUGGCCUGAUAAAGUGGUUUUGGCUUUGUUGGAGAAAGCAUGUCAUUGGGGUUAGGCUUUGGGGUUUAAAAAAGUCCAUAUCAGGCCCAAUCUCCCCCGCCCCCAUCUGUUUGCCUGAGGAUCAAGAUGUAGCUUUCAGCUACUGCUCUAGCACCAUGUGUACUGCCAUAGUAACUACCAUGAUGGUAAUGGACUAAGCCUCUAAAGCUAUAAGCAAGCCCCCAAUUAAAUGCUUGCUUUUCUAC
rnacentral:lncRNA from 1 species